rnacentral:rRNA from 1 species
UGGGGAAUUUUGGACAAUGGGGGCAACCCUGAUCCAGCAAUGCCGCGUGUGUGAAGAAGGCCUUCGGGUUGUAAAGCACUUUUGUCCGGGAAGAAAUCGCACCUGAUAAUACCGGGUGUGGAUGACGGUACCGGAAGAAUAAGGACCGGCUAACUACGUGCCAGCAGCCGCGGUAAUACGUAGGGUACAAGCGUUAAUCGGAAUUACUGGGCGUAAAGCGUGCGCAGGCGGUUGUGCAAGACCGAUGUGAAAUCCCCGGGCUUAACCUGGGAAUGGCAUUGGUGACUGCACGGCUAGAGUGUGUCAGAGGGGAGUAGAAUUCCACGGGUAGCAGUGAAAUGCGUAGAGAUGUGGAGGAAUACCGAUGGCGAAGGCAGCCCCCUGGGAUAACACUGACGCUCAUGCACGAAAGCGUGGGGAGCAAACAGG